AUGAAACAUUCCUCUGCAUCAGCACCACUUCUUUUGCCUUACCCUUACCUUGCGCCUUUGGGCUCCUCAACCUUUAAAUGGGUGAAGAAAACAGCAGCAGUGUCUCGGCAGUGUCCUUGCUGGGGAGCUUGGCUGAGAGAAAGAGUCGCUACCGAGGGACCCCCGGCAGCUGUCGGGGGAGGAGGGGUGGGUGCGGAGGGGUAUGCGAUGCUGAUGGAGGAGAAGCCUUCGGCCAUUCCUGAGCGGGGAGGAGCCGCUUCCCGCUGGGGAGGAGAGGCCGUGUGUGGGGCGGGAGGGGUGAGGGAAGCGGCCGUGGGCUCCUCCCCUGGCCUCCGUCCCUUCGCCGCCGCGUUGCACAGGUUUAUGAUUGCCACACUUGCUGCUGCUUCUCAUAUCGCUUCAAUCCCCAUCAACAUUUCAUUUGUUGACCCUGAAGGGGUAAGACCCUGUCUUACCUUUCUUCUUGGUGAGUAAGUGGGUAAGUAUUCUGCUCUCGGAUUCUUUUCAAUCCCUUCUAGUCUGUUUCUUGCCUUCUUCACCUGAUGGACUUUGCUGUCCUGAAAAUGGCUAAUUGCAUUUCCUCUCCAACAUUAUUGGCAGCUUCUUCAGUAAGUAGUUGUUUUGGGUUUUUUUUUAUUUUUCCUCUUAGGAACAAUAAGUCCAUUCUGUUCCCAGAUAGGAAGCUUUUCCCCACGAGUGUUUCUCCUGUUUGUCUCCCCGUACCAGACUCCUGCUUCACUCAGGUGUCAUCUGUCUUGUCUGUCUCCAUUCCUCCUCAGGUCAGCUACUCUGUCAAGCUUGCAGAUUUUUCCCUUUUUCUUGCUCAUUUCUCCAAAUAGAUGUGUUCACAAGCUGUUGCUGUUAGAACAGGUGAUCUGUUUUGACCGUAACUUGUAAGAGUCUUAAGGUGUCCUUCAGAAAAAUGAUUUUAUUCAUUUUAGCCCUUUCAGAAAUGGAAGGCAGUACACUGAGGUGUCUCACAUCAAUGUAUGUCUCAGUCUUUUCUAACAGCAUCCUCGUGGCUGAUGCAACAUCGGUCACACGAAUUGCACUGGAAUUGAAUCCAGCAUCUGCAGGGCUCCAGAUAAGGUGAAGAACACUGUAUGCACUCUAGAAAGGAAGUGCUUUCAAUGCCUGUUUAUAAGCUGCAUAAGCAUUUACCUUUAAACAUACCAGAUGUGUAACCUAGCAUUGUAAAACUGACAGAUCCUUCCACAAGAGACAUAGUAACCUUGUGUUCCCUCACUGAAAAAAUUAUUGGAGCACUGUGGAAGCUGGGACUCUUUCCAGAAAGAGAGGUGAUGGGCUUGCAGAUAAGCUGGGAACCUCAUGUUGUCACACACUGGCCUCGUGUUUUUAAAAACACCACCCCCCACCCCCCAAAAAAAAAACCAAACCAAAACCAACAGCAAAAAAAUAAUUCCCAACAACACAAAGAAAAGCUUGAGUGAAACAGAAUCGUGUUUCAAUAUAUGUCAAAUUUCUUCAUACAGCUGAUACACUUUGCUAUGAAUACAGGUAGCAGGUAGUCUUUCUGUUCCAGCACCAUUUAAAGUGUUCAGCUCUUCGUCUGGCAUGGAUUUUCUUAGUCUGUGAAUGGUGGAAAUUUACAUUUUUUUCUUACUUAAAAGGACUGGUGAAAAGUACCAAGUACCUCCAGUACUGGCUGGUGUGGGGUUUUGCAUGAAAUUUAAUAUUUCAUUGAAAAUUUCACUGAGUACAUCAUCAUGCACAGAAUUCACAUUGCCAGUCCUGACUUUCCCUGCUUGGUAUUUUUGUUCUUUCUCCUUUUCUCCCCGAUGUUUAGCCUCACUUUAUAUUCCUUUUUGCUUGGUUUCUUGUUUCUCCAGUCUCCUGCAGAUCACCCUGUGUGAAAGAGAGCGUGCUCUGUCCUGCAGCAUUUGUGUGCACACCCCUUCCAGUAGCAACCAUGAUUUGUACUGAUUUGGAUGUAGUCAGAUGCAGGGCAGACGUCUUUGAAACCUCCUGGUCAUUCCAUAUUUUUCAUGUUCUGUCUUGCUGCUGUAUUUCUUCUUUUUUUUCUUCUGCUCUUUGUAGAUAGAACUGAAAUAGUGAAGAAAAUACUUCUAUAUGGUAUGUACACUUGGCAGCAUGUUGGUUCCUUCUUAUGGUUUUCUGAGUAUUUGUCUCAGUUCUUUUUACAAAGUACAAAGAAAGAAAAUGCAUUAGAAAAAUGUGGUCCUAGAAUAGCCAAAGCAAACAGAGAAUGUUGGGUGGAUGCAGUAGCUUGAAAGAAUAGGGUUAAUAUUUUUAUUGCUUGUUUUAAGAUUAUGCUAUCUAUUUAACUAAAGCCUACAAAAGUUUAAGAGUAAGUUAUAUUUUCAACACACUUGGUCUUCAUUUAUGGAAUGAGCUUUCUUGAACAAAGAGAUGUACCAGUGUGGCUUCUGGGAAGCUGAGUGACUCAGAAAUCAGCCACUUCCUCGGGUGGGUCAUCUGAAUUGGGUAAUGAAAAGUUGAUUUGUCUGAGUAGAUGCAGUCACUUACUGGUGUGGUAAGAAAGUCAUUUCACUUGGUUACAUUCCGUUUGUUUGAAACAGUUUUGCCAUUUUGGGAGUUGGCUGUGACACAGAACAGUUAUGCUGGGGAUUUGCCAGAUCUCAGCCCUUGGAGAGCCCAACUCUUAAUGCAGUUAUCUGCAUCCAUGCAGGCCAGCAACCGUAAGUUUGGACCUAUUGGGAAAUCCGAGGAGCUAAGCUGGUUUGCCCUGCUGGUUUGAGUGUAGAUAGUUAGUAUCACUAAAAUACAGUAGCAAUACUGUAGAACACAGUAGCUUCUCCAGCAUCCAGCAGGAGAAGCUUCACUGAUGCAGACAGCAGCUUCUGAUAAAGAAAACGCAUAGAAGUGUGAUUGUUCCAGUAGCAGGUCACUCAGAAUAAUCUGUGAGCUGGCAGGGCUCAGUUAUAGCUUGACAGGGGAGUGCUGGGGAGCAUUUGAAAAAGUUCCCCUUCACUGCAGAUGUCUUGGGAAAGUGUGAGAAUUUUGUAGUGGCAGAGUUGGCACAUUUACAGAAUUGUUGAGGGGUUUUGACUUUUGAUUUUGUUAAUAUGACUGUAAUCAGAAUCUAAGAAUAUUCUUCCAGAUACCCCUUGAUCUGCUGAAACAACAGUAUGUUUUGACUGUUACUGGGGGCUGUCAGUCGUUUGUGUUGAUCAUGCAGAUUCUCAUUGUUUGUGUGGAGGUGAUUCAGUUGUGAUCUUGGCAAAAAAUUAGCUUCCUGCAUGGGAAAUCAUAUGUGCAAGUUUGUACCUAAAUAGUACCUAAAUGAACUUACCUUUGAAUUGUAAUUACAAUAUAACUUCAGGCCUACUAUAUGGUAGGCACAUUAACUACAAUUACAAGAAGCCCUGCAGUAGAGAGCAAUCUGAUCCUGACUCCUCUUGCUUAAUGCCUUGUGGAGAAAAAUAGGAAUAAAUGGACAUCUAAAAAGAGCUCCCA
rnacentral:lncRNA from 1 species